rnacentral:pre_miRNA from 1 species
UCUUGUUUUUUUCAACAACGAAUAUUCAAAUAUUUAGAUCUAAUCGUUAUUGAUAAAACAAU